AGCCCCGUAGUGUAGCGGUCCAUCAUUCGGGACUCUGGAUCCCGAGACCCAGGUUCGAAUCCUGGCGGGGCUACCA
rnacentral:tRNA from 2 species